AUGGUCAUCAAUAUGAAGUCACAGACUCAGGUGUCCACAUUCCUGUUGCUCUGGUUGUCUGAUAUUUAUGGAGCCAUUGUGAUGACCCAGUCUCACAAAACCUUGUCCACAUCAGGAGGAGACAGGGUCAUCAUCAACUGCAAGGCUAGUCAGAAUUUGGGCACUGCUGUAGCAUGGUAUCAACAGGAUCAAGAGCAGUCUCCUAAAUUGCUGAUAUACAGGGCAUCCACCCUUUUCCUUGGGGUCACUGAUCACUUCACAGGCAGUGGAUCUGGGACAGAUUUCACUCUCACCAUCAGCAGUGUGCGGGCUGAAGACCUGCCAGUUUAUUACUGUCAGCAGUAUAGCAGCUAUCAUUUCACAGUGCUUUAG